rnacentral:rRNA from 1 species
AUGAGCGUGGGUUCCAACCCCACCUCAGACACCAGGAACUCUGACUUGCUCUGCAGCAUACCACCUGAGCGUAUUCUUCAAGUAGUCCACUUUGCCGGCAAUCUUCUCCUCGUUGAGAAACGCGACAGCCCGUAGCGCUUGCCUGAACAUCCCAGCGCCACGAGGUACACCUAAUCUUUCAGCACAUGCCACCAUUGCGCGGACGCGUUCCGGGUUGGUGGUCAGCAUCCUCGGCACAGCGAUACACAGCUUGGCAAUAUCACAAGCACCUAG